AGGCUUUUCAACCAUCUCACCCCAUAAGGGUCUGCGUGGUCCCUCAAGAACAUGGACGGAAGACAACAUUUACGUCACACCGACUAAAGCCAACUCUUGUGGACAUGAAGACAUUGAAUUAGCCUUUAAGGUUAAUUUUGAUGAAUGCUCGUCACACAUGGAUGACUAUAACGGACACGUUGUACUUGGACUGUGUCACUGCGUCUCUCUGAGGGCUCUGCUUCUGCGUACUGGUCCCAGUGGACAUUAUCUCGGAGGAUAUCACUGCAUGUGUCUGAAGGAAGGAGGAAGCGCAGUUUCAGGUUCCAGUUUCGGACGUAACAUCAUCAUCGUCACCAUCUGACAUCAGAAGCCCCCAC